CUACGGGAGGCAGCAGUGGGGAAUAUUGCACAAUGGGCGGAAGCCUGAUGCAGCGACGCCGCGUGAGGGAUGACGGCCUUCGGGUUGUAAACCUCUUUCAGCAGGGACGAAGCGUAAGUGACGGUACCUGCAGAAGAAGCACCGGCUAACUACGUGCCAGCAGCCGCGGUAAUACGUAGGGUGCGAGCGUUGUCCGGAAUUACUGGGCGUAAAGAGCUCGUAGGCGGUUUGUCACGUCGUCUGUGAAAUCCUAGGGCUUAACCCUGGACGUGCAGGCGAUACGGGCUGACUUGAGUACUACAGGGGAGACUGGAAUUUCUGGUGUAGCGGUGGAAUGCACAGAUAUCAGGAAGAACACCGAUGGCGAAGGCAGGUCUCUGGGUAGUAACUGACGCUGAGGAGCGAAAGCAUGGGUAGCGAACAGGAUUAGAUACCCUGGUAGUCCAUGCCGUAAACGGUGGGCGCUAGGUGUGGGGUUCCUUCCACGGGCUCCGCGCCGUAGCUAACGCAUUAAGCGCCCCGCCUGGGGAGUACGGCCGCAAGGCUAAAACUCAAAGAAAUUGACGGGGGCCCGCACAAGCGGCGGAGCAUGUGGAUUAAUUCGAUGCAACGCGAAGAACCUUACCUGGGCUUGACAUAUAGAGGAUCGCUACAGAGAUGUGGUUUCCCUUGUGGCUUCUAUACAGGUGGUGCAUGGUUGUCGUCAGCUCGUGUCGUGAGAUGUUGGGUUAAGUCCCGCAACGAGCGCAACCC
rnacentral:rRNA from 1 species